GCCCAUUCUCUUAAACAUUUCGCUGGAGAUUUGUUCUCAGCCUAAGAGAAGUCUAGAGCAUGGCAAGAAUACACCAGCAGGAGGUUCUGCCUCUGUAGCUCUGGACAGUUACAGCCAGGCCCUUCACAGGACUCCUGCUCAGAAAUGAUGGAGCCAUCCUUGCUGCUGGAUGUGACCUGCCUCCACCCCUUGCUGAUGUGGGUCCCUGCUGGAAUCUCCACUCUGCCUGCACCUCCCCCAUCGAUGCUCUGGUUCACUCACAAAGGUAUCCUUCAAAGAGAGAGACUUGACUGCAGAACAGAGGACGGCAAUGUGACAUCAAAAGAAGACACUGGAGAGUUGUGGCCAGGAGCCAAGGAAUGCUGCCAACCACCUUAGAUGCUAGAAGAGCCAAGGAACAGGUUCUCCUCUGGGGCCCUCAGAAAGAACCACCUCUGUUAACACCUUGAUAUUAGCCCUGUGAGACUCAUUUUGGACUUCUGACCUCCAGCAUUUAAGAG